rnacentral:piRNA from 1 species
UCCAAUGGUAAACUUAUCAGGUUUCUGUUC